GUAUGUUGUAUACCUGGUUCCUAUUUUGAACAUCUACGUGUACUUUUUGUCUUUUUGACAUCCAUCAGCUAACUUCGUUGAUUUAAGUCAGACCAACAAGAUCAACAAGAGAAUGGGUGGAGAUAAAUCAAAAAACCGAGUGGAUAAGGCAGAGAAAGAUCUCGAUCAAGCCAAAACGGGAAAAAAGAAAGUGAAGAAGGGAAAGACGACUGAAAACGAUUACAACCAACUCCUUGCUAAGAACGUGAGACUGGAAACAGAACAAAAGAUGGAAGAAGAACGAAGACAGGAGCUCGAGAAGGAAAGACUAAAAUUAAUAGAACACAAUAGACAGCGAGAGAAAGAUGAAAGGACCAGGAUUAAGCAGGAAAAAGAGAUUGCAAAAGGAGAUCAGAACACUGUAUAAAAAAAGGGCAUAAACUGUUUAAUUUAUCCACAAAAUGUAUUAUUGAACAAAGCACACAAUCAUUGUAAACUUUUAAUAUCUACAAUUGCACUGCCUGUUUUAUUUUCCUCAAAUGAUGUGC
rnacentral:lncRNA from 1 species